GAUGAACGCUGGCGGCGUGCCUAAUACAUGCAAGUCGAGCGAACAGACGUGAAGGUUGCUUCUCGGAUGUUAGCGGCGGACGUGUGAGUAACACGUGGAUAACCUCCCUAUAAAACUGGGAUAACUUCGGGAAACCGUAGCUAAUACCGGAUAAUAUAUUCAACCGCAUGGUUCAAUAGUGUAAGACGGUUUUGCUGUCACUUAUAGAUGGAUCCGCGCUGCAUUAGCUAGAUGGUAAGGGAACGGCGUACCAAGGCAACGAUGCAUAGCCGACCUGAGAGGGAGAUAGGCCACACCGGGACUGGAGAACGGCCCAAGACCCUACGGGGGGGAAGAGGUGGGGAAUCUCCCGAAUGGGGGAAAAGCUGAACGAGGAACGGCGGGGGAAGGAAUGAGGGCCUCGGGUCGGAAAACUCUGUUAUUUGGGGAGAAAAAAAUUUGUAGUUAAUGAGGACAGCUUGACAGUACCAUAUCAAGAAGGCCCGGCUAACUACGUG
rnacentral:rRNA from 1 species